AUUGAACGCUGGCGGCAGGCCUAACACAUGCAAGUCGAGCGGGGUUUUCGGACCUAGCGGCGGACGGGUGAGUAAUGCGUAGGAAGCUACCCGAUAGAGGGGGAUACCAGUUGGAAACGACUGUUAACACCGCAUAAUGUCUACGGACCAAAGUGUGGGACCUUCGGGCCACAUGCUAUCGGAUGCGCCUACGUGGGAUUAGCUAGUUGGUGAGGUAAUGGCUCACCAAGGCGACGAUCCCUAGCUGGUUUGAGAGGAUGAUCAGCCACACUGGAACUGAGACACGGUCCAGACUCCUACGUGAGGCAGCAGUGGGGAAUAUUGGACAAUGGGCGCAAGCCUGAUCCAGCCACGCCGCGUGUGUGAAGAAGGCCUUCGGGUUGUAAAGCACUUUCAGUAGGGAGGAAGGGUGUUGUGCUAAUAGCACAGCAUUUUGACGUUACCUACAGAAGAAGCACCGGCUAACUCUGUGCCAGCCGCCGCCGUAACAC
rnacentral:rRNA from 1 species